UCAGGACGAACGCUGGCGGCGCGCUUAACACAUGCAAGUCGAGCGAGAACCGGGACUUCGGUCCCGGGGACAGCGGCGAACGGGUGAGUAACACGUGGGUAAUCUGCCCUCGAUUCUGGGAUAGCCCGGGGAAACCCGGAUUAAUACCGGAUAGCCUCUCUGGCUCUCGAGCCGGCGAGAAAAGGUAGCUUCGGCCUCCGAUCGAGGAUGAGCCCGCGGCGGAUUAGCUUGUUGGCGGGGUAAUGGCCCACCAAGGCGACGAUCCGUAGCUGGUCUGAGAGGACGAUCAGCCACACUGGGACUGAGACACGGCCCAGACUCCUACGGGAGGCAGCAGUGGGGAAUCUUGCGCAAUGGGCGAAAGCCUGACGCAGCGACGCCGCGUGGGGGAAGAAGGCCUUCGGGUUGUAAACCUCUUUCAGAAGGGACGAAGCCACUCGGGUUAAUAGCCCAGAGGGUGACGGUACCUUCAGAAGAAGCCCCGGCUAACUACGUGCCAGCAGCCGCGGUAAUACGUAGGGGGCAAGCGUUGUCCGGAUUUAUUGGGCGUAAAGAGCGUGUAGGCGGCUUGACAGGUCCGUUGUGAAAACUGGAGGCUCAACCUCCAGACGUCGAUGGAAACCGUCAGGCUAGAGUCCGGAAGAGGAGAGUGGAAUUCCUGGUGUAGCGGUGAAAUGCGCAGAUAUCAGGAAGAACACCCGUGGCGAAGGCGGCUCUCUGGGACGGUACUGACGCUGAGACGCGAAAGCGUGGGGAGCGAACAGGAUUAGAUACCCUGGUAGUCCACGCCGUAAACGAUGGGUGCUAGGUGUGGGAGGUGUCGACUCCUCCCG
rnacentral:rRNA from 1 species